GGCUUAUUAAAAUGAAAUAUCAUAAAACAAAGCCACAUUAGAGUUCAUCUUUUCCUCAUUCUUUCCAACCGACAAUAAGGGAGAAAAAGAGAUUAUGGAAUCUAGGGAAGAGGCCGGUUGCAUGCUGUGGGAAAACUGUGAACUUGUUUGCUUAGAAGCUAAAAUUUUGAAGUAACAGGAUCGAUUAUAAGCCAGGGAUAAGAGAAGGUCGUGGAAUAAUCAUCUUUGACUUGAGGUUUAUACUUUAGCUCGAGUUGGAAGGGCCGGAGAUAUCAUCACACUAUCAAGUCAUUAUGUGAGUUGAGAAGAUUGUAUAUCAUCAUGGUUUAAGGCAUGUAUAGGAUAGACUAUAGGUAGAAUGAUAUUUCGACUUUGUAUACAUUAUAGCCAUGCGAAGAUGGCUUACUCAUUUUGUUUAGAGAAGCCUUAUAAUUGAACUAAUGUGGUGAAAUGUUUUAGUUAUAACUUGAUAGUAGUUAAUUUGUUAUUAGAUAUCCGGUUAUGUUUUGAUAGUGAGUCAUUUUGGAAA